AUUGAACGCUGGCGGCAGGCCUAACACAUGCAAGUCGAACGGUAACAGGAAGACGCUUGCUUCUUUGCUGACGAGUGGCGGACGGGUGAGUAAUGUCUGGGAAACUGCCUGAUGGAGGGGGAUAACUACUGGAAACGGUAGCUAAUACCGCAUAACGUCGCAAGACCAAAAAGGGGGACCUUCGGGCCUCUUGCCAUCGGCUGUGCCCAGAUGGGAUUAGCUAGUAGGUGGGGUAACGGCUCACCUAGGCGACGAUCCCUAGCUGGUCUGAGAGGAUGACCAGCCACACUGGAACUGAGACACGGUCCAGACUCCUACGGGAGGCAGCAGUGGGGAAUAUUGCACAAUGGGCGCAAGCCUGAUGCAGCCAUGCCGCGUGUAUGAAGAAGGCCUUCGGGUUGUAAAGUACUUUCAGCGGGGAGGAAGGGAGUAAAGUUAAUACCUUUGCUCAUUGACGUUACCCGCAGAAGAAGCACCGGCUAACUCCGUG
rnacentral:rRNA from 1 species